rnacentral:rRNA from 1 species
GACGAACGCUGGCGGCGUGCCUAAUACAUGCAAGUAGAACGCACAGUUUAUACCGUAGCUUGCUACACCAUAAACUGUGAGUUGCGAACGGGUGAGUAACGCGUAGGUAACCUGCCUGGUAGCGGGGGAUAACUAUUGGAAACGAUAGCUAAUACCGCAUAAUAUUAAUUAUUGCAUGAUAAUUGAUUGAAAGAUGCAAUUGCAUCACUACCAGAUGGACCUGCGUUGUAUUAGCUAGUAGGUGAGGUAACGGCUCACCUAGGCGACGAUACAUAGCCGGCCUGAGAGGGUGAUCGGCCACACUGGGAAUGAGACACGGCCCAGACUCCUACGGGAGGCAGCAGGAGGGAAUCUUCGGCAAUGGACGAAAGUCUGACCGAGCAACGCCGCGGGAGUGAAGAAGGUUUUCGGAUCGUAAAGCUCUGUUGUAAGAGAAGAAAGGGUGUGAGAGUGGAAAGUUCACACUGUGACGGUAUCUUACCAGAAAGGGACGGCUAACUACGUG